rnacentral:rRNA from 1 species
AUUGAACGCUGGCGGCAUGCCUUACACAUGCAAGUCGAACGGCAGCACGGGAGCAAUCCUGGUGGCGAGUGGCGAACGGGUGAGUAAAGUAUCGGAACGUGCCCAGUCGUGGGGGAUAACGUAGCGAGAGUUACGCUCAUACCGCAUACGAACUAUGGAUGAAAGCGGGGGAUCGCAAGACCUCGCGCGAUUGGAGCGGCCGAUAUCAGAUUAGGUAGUUGGUGGGGUAAAGGCUCACCAAGCCGACGAUCUGUAGCUGGUCUGAGAGGACGACCAGCCACACUGGGACUGAGACACGGCCCAGACUCCUACGGGAGGCAGCAGUGGGGAAUUUUGGACAAUGGGCGGAAGCCUGAUCCAGCCAUGCCGCGUGCAGGAUGAAGGCCUUCGGGUUGUAAACUGCUUUUGUACGGAACGAAAAGGUUUGGCCUAAUAAGCUGAGCUCAUGACGGUACCGUAAGAAUAAGCACCGGCUAACUACGUGCCAGCCGCCGCGGUAA